CGAACCACUAUGAGCUACUUCCACUGUACCAUCGAUCAUGAAGAACUCAACACGUACGGCAGUGUGGCUGUGCCUUGCACUGCUCGCGAUCACUACUGCACCGUCGGCCGUUUUAUCCGACGAAGGUGACGAGCAGGAGCAGGAAGCGCACACAACGCAGGAAGCGCAGGUGGUGCAGGAAGAGCAAGCUACCGCACCAACCCCGGAAGCCAAUGGGGAAGAAGGUGUAGGCGAAGGUGAAGCAACCGAUACGGAUGGGGAAGAAGCCGCCGAAACGGACGGAGCGAACCCGGGCGGAAUGUUCGUGAUGCAGCCGAUCAACAUACUGCUCGCACCGACCGCCUGUAAGCCGGGCUAUCGUGUCGAUCAUAAGGACAAGUGUCGGCCCACACUGUGAGGUCUGUUACACGAAACGACACCAUCGCUCCCGUUCGUUGGCCUGGCGAGCGAUCAUUGCCCUGUCCUGCCGAACCGCUCUAACUAACACAUUGGCACGCUGACGCUGGGACUGUCAGCGGUGAGUGACUGCAGUAACGCGUGAUCGGCACGCACAACAUUGGAUAAUGGCGUAGUUCGAUUAACAAAGACCCUCUAGGACAAAAGAUUGAUCAUAGAGAAAAAUUCUGAGGCGUUUAGCGUUCAGUGAGAAACAUUCAGUUUUGAAGAAUAAAUAGCAACUUAGUUUCACUAUAAGUCAAAUAUAUCGUUCAACUAUCCAACGAAGUAGCUCUUUUCAACUAGGUCGUCUCUACAAACUCCGCUACAAAUUGAUAGCAUUUUGGCUACAUUACACUAUCCAACUGGUGGAUUUAAGUUUUACACAUUUUACAAGAUGAUAUUACACUUUUCAACUUCUGAUAUCUCUUUGACUUUUUUGCAAUAUUUACUAAGCGGAGCGGUUUAUCAUGUGAGUUUUUAACAUAUGAAAGAAAGGGAAAAAGUGCGUUCUUUCUUAUGCUAGUUUAACUUAUCCAAUUCUCCGAUUAGGAUCAAAUAUCAUAUACAUCGUUGAUUUAAAAGAAUCGUGCAAUGGCGCAAGCAAUCCUAUAGCUUUAAAUUAUUUAAACAUGAUUUUUGAUUGCUUCCUUCGCUAGUAACACAAAUCGGCACGUGACAAGUCAAUCGUCUCAUGUACCGCAUUUGUUACACCCCAGAAUAACUACAGCGCAUGAAACUCCAACAUUUUUUUAAAAUAAAAAUCCAGUCACGCCAGUUGGAAUAAAUCAUAAGGCUAAGCAGUAACUACCAACUCGUACCUGAAGUAUAAUUCAGUACGAUUUGAGUGCGUAUAGAGGUAUUUUCAGUGAAGUGAUCACAAUGAAAUUGGUUCUGUUGCUUUAUAGCAUGUUUUUCUUGGCUGGCGUAUCCUACAGUCAAAUGGUAAAACAAUCGUUACCCAUCGGAUCACUUAACACAAGUACAAAACAGACAAUAACUAUAUGGGCAAUGAACGACUUGUUUCAGCGAAUUCGUGUACCAAAGGUAUGCCCAGCAGGGCAUAUGCUCGAUCAUAGGGAAAUAUGCAGAAAGAUUAUGCGCCCAGGGAGAUAAAUUCAUAUUUGAAGAAUAAAUAUUGACUCACUUUCACAAAACUACCUCCUGCAAGUGAAAUACGAGGCUAAUCGUUUCAUAUGCCGAUCUGUUGUCACGUGUUAAUUUUCUUCGUGCAUCGCGUCAGAAUGGUUAGCUUCUUUGUAAGUGUUGUGCGUAAGUGUGAGACUUCUUCUUCUUCUUCUUUGGCUCAACAACCGAUGUCGGUCAAGUCCUGCCUGUACCCACUUGUGGGCUUGGCUUUCAGUGACUAAUAGAUUUCCCCCCAUAGCAGGAUAGUCAGUCCUACGUAUAAGUGUGAGUGUGAGACUAUGUAAAUCAAUUAUUGUAAUAUGUAAAUCUCUGGAGCGUGUACGCAUCGGGUGGGCUUAUGACGUCCGUCGAUUGAUUAAUAAAUAUACAAAUAUCUUCUCUUUGGGUUCUUCUUUCUGACA